GUGGCACAAGGGAGAGAGUCUCAUUCAUCUGGGACUCUAGGGUUUAGCCAAUUGGAUUUCUACCAAACCCAAUCCAAUUAGAUCUAAAUAAAAUAUGAUGAAUCUAAUCUAAUUAAGCUCCUAUAACCUCAAUUAGAUCUAAUCAAAUCAAUAAAUUAAUUGAGCCAUAGACCUGAUCAAAUCAAGAUCAAUUCUCUCUUAUCGAUUAGGUCAUCUUAU
rnacentral:lncRNA from 1 species